rnacentral:lncRNA from 1 species
CGCCUGCGCAGUGAGGCAGCCGCAGGGAGCCUGGCGCAUGCGCAGAGCUGGGCGGGGGGACAGCGUUUCCCGCCUUUUCCCCUGAGGGUAUGCGAGGCUGGCGGUGCGCAGGGAGGAAACAAACUGUUAAUAAAUAAUUCAUUAGUAAACUAUCCGUGUUAGGAACCUGAAUCUCCACAGUUUCCGUUAUGAGAGUGCUUGGGCCAAAGGAGAAAGUACAUCAAGCAGAAGAACAAAGGGCUAAAAUCCUUUAUUUCAUGCUCUUCAGGAAGGUAUUCACACGGACUGAAUGGAUAUUGAGACAGACCAAGGGCUCAGUCAUUAAAUAUGUUCUGCUCAUAGUGAGAGAAGAAAGCACGGCCAUUCUGAAACAUAUAAAUGAUGUGAAGCAAGAGUUGUUCAAGUGCAGUAGUUCUCCUUUGCUAUGGACAUCUCUGAUAGAGUUUUAAAGACACACAGAAUCUUGACAGAUAAAUGUGGGAUUUUGGAAGUUUAAGCUGAGGAAAUGAAGCAGGCUAAGUAAAUGUCUUUUCAAAGACAUUUGAACAAAAAUUUAUGACUUUUUUGGUUUUUUUUUAAUCAUUUGUUUUCUUUUGGAUGGGCUUAAAACUUUUCCAGCUUUUUUUUUGUUUGGUGUGAGUAGGAGAAAAAUUGUCUGCUAGAUAAGGAAGCCUUAUUAUCAAGUGCCCUUCAAACUGGGAAUCUCAAAGCAUAUCUCAUUUGGACUAAUAUAAAUAGCGUGAGUUUAUGUGAUGUUAAUUCUUUUGGCUCUGCCAUUUAGCUCUAUUCAUUCUUUUUGAGUAGUUUCAGCUGAUGCUGAAGAUGUGUUUAGCUGCACCUAAUUGCUCUCAUUGUCUAGACAAUCAUCAACAUUCAUAUCCAGUGAACUCUUUAAGGGAAUUAAUCAGAUCAGAAAUAGCUUUUUUGGUUCUUAAAUACAUGAAUUUAUCUUGGAUAGAUUAGUUUUAAUUCAGGUGAAUUGGUUGUUUGAUUUGCUCUACAGAUUGCAUAAAUGCUCAUGCUGAUGUAGGGAAAUGCACAAGAGAGCAGGAUCAUUUUCAAUCACAGUAGUGGUUUAGCAGCAUGAACG